rnacentral:sRNA from 1 species
AGCUAUAUCAAUUAAUGUCACACACGUACCGGCACAUGAAUCCUGGGUGCCCGAUCAGAGUUGAAUCUGUAAGGGUUGGAUCAUGGGGUGCGUGGAGGCCUAAC